rnacentral:lncRNA from 1 species
GAAAGUGAAGCUCAACCUUCCUAAGCAGUUGUUCAUGGGUACCUUUCUGACUCCAUUGUUUAUUCAUUGUGGUAUUGAUUUAUCUACCUCAGAAGUGAAUGAGAAUAUGGUGCACGUGGAUAUCAAGUACUCAAUGCAUUGCCAUAUUCUGAGCGAUAGAUAUGUUACAAGUUUUGGGGUCUUGACGGUCUACUAGCAUACUGCACACUCCCCAACCCGGCUAUUACUGCGC